rnacentral:rRNA from 1 species
UGCCAGCAGCCGCGGUAAUACGGAGGGUGCGAGCGUUAAUCGGAAUCGCUGGGCGUAAAGAGCGUGUAGGCGGGUUAAUAAGUUUGACGUGAAAUCCAAUGGCUCAACCAUUGAACUGCUUUGAAAACUGUUAACCUAGAAUAUGGGAGAGGUAGAUGGAAUUUCUGGUGUAGGGGUAAAAUCCGUAGAGAUCAGAAGGAAUACCGAUUGCGAAGGCGAUCUACUGGAACAUUAUUGACGCUGAGACGCGAAAGCGUGGGGAGCAAACAGGAUUAGAUA